CGGACACGUGCGGUCCGUCAGGGCUGGUAUGCGGCCAAAUCUGCGAGUCGGCCGGAGCCAACAGCAGCUGCUCGUGCGUGCCCGGCUGGGCGCUCGCCGCCGACAAGCAGACGUGCGCAGUUUCUAAGAAGGCGCUUUGCUACAAAGUGGAAACGAAUUUCUUUGACGAACAUCCUGCCAAGGCAGACUUCAACGAGACGGUGCGGGGCUGCGAAAAGUCUUGCAAAGAGAAGAAGGCGCAUUAUAGCGCCCAGGGCCGGCUGGGCUGUCGCUGUCUGGACUUCUUCGAGGUGGUCGCUUCUCUGGACGUGCUUACCUUACAGCCGAAGAGAGCAUGCGACCGCCUGCGGGAAUCCAGCUGGCGCGUGCGCUU
rnacentral:lncRNA from 1 species